GCGACGACCGGAGGCUGCGGCGGAGCCCCGGCGGGGCGUUUGGUUUCGGUUUGGCCCUGACUGGGAUUAGUGUUGACGAUCGAAAUGGGAGUCCCCAAGUUUUACCGAUGGAUCUCAGAGCGGUAUCCCUGUCUCAGCGAAGUGGUGAAAGAGCAUCAGGUGGAGUCUCGCUCUGUCGCCCAGGCUGGAGUGCAGCGGCACGAUCUCAGCUCACUGCAAGCUCCGCCUCCUGGGUUCACGCCAUUCUCCCGCCUCAGCCUCCCGGAGUCUUGCUCAGUUGCCCAGGCUGGAGUGCAGUGGCUCGAUCUCCGCUCACUGCAAGCUCCGCCUCCUGGGUUCACGCCAUUCUCCUGCCUCAGUCUCCCGAGUAGCUGAGACUACAGGCGCCUGCCACCAAGCCCAGCUAAUUUUUUUGUAUUUUUUUAGUAGAGACGGGGUUUCACCGUGUUAGCCAGGAUGGUCGCGAUGUCCUGACCUCGUGAUCCGCCCUCCUCGGCCUCUCAAAGUGCUGGGAUUACAGGCGUGAGCCACCGCGCCCGGCCAGAGAUGUUGACUUCUAAUUUGCAAACAUUUCCCUACGUUUUGUCAUUUUUAAUUGAAUUAUAUAUGGCGCUUUUUAACCCUAUAUAUGUAAAACAAUACA
rnacentral:sRNA from 1 species